UAAGGCGAGCGUUUACAAAACGUUUUGUUUUGUAUCCCUGUUGCAACGCUACGCAUACACGUUAAGCGGGAAACCAAACAGCGAACGUUCGCCUCAAACAUCUUUACUGAACGCACUGCUGAUGAAGGCCGAAUGUAUAUAUAUUUCCAGAGCACGAAUGAGUACCUAUCACGGCUGAUCAUAGUCUCGAGCCCCCCUCAGACCUUGCAUGGCUCAGGCCCCACCCCCGAGGCUGCUAGAGACCAAGCCUCUCUCCUAGCACUUAAAAUCCUAGGUGAUCCUGGGAAAGAAGAUUCCCCAGGGCCGGUGAUUGCUUCCGGAGACGGGACCCAGACAACGAAGUAGUAGCUUCUCAGAUGAGAUGUAUCGGUGACGGACGUUGAUUACCCACAAUUCUCUGACGAUUACAAGUCUGCAAAUUUGGAACUCAGUGCAAAAGGGUCAUAACUCCAUCUUAAUAUAGAAAGAGCUAUGUCUGUUUUGCACUUAGCCCUGGAAAUGGCGUGGUUGAACGCGAAACAGUCCUAAAUGACAUGAUUGAAAGAUUAACAUAGAACUCUUUCGCUUUCACCCUUCGACUGAUAGUUAUUUUAGGAAGAAAUCUCUAAAUGCUGACUGUGUUUCUUUUUGCCAUCAUAGUUGUAAACAACAUUUGUUUUGUAUAUUUGUUAAUGUUCUGCAUAUUUUGUUUAAAACUUUAGCAUUGAUUGAUGCACCUUUAGAUUUUCAAUGACACAUUUAGAAUGAUUAAAACAACAUUCUUAAAUUUUGUGAACAUUGUAAAUAUACAUUAUGGCAAUAAGGAAAACAGUUGUCGAACAUGAGUUAAAUACCUGUUCUGUUGUUCGUUUCAUCUUAGUUGUACUAAUGUUAUAACAAAAUAUUAUUUAGUUACAAGGAAUUGGAUCCUGGCAAAUGAUUUCAUUAAAAUGAUAUUGUUGGUAUAAAAUGAAAUGUUUAGUAAGUACUUACCACAGUUGACAAGUUGAUAGUUUGUGUAAUCUACUGGCAACAAUUUCUCCAAACUUCUUAAGUCCCUUAUAACAGGAUUAAGAUAAGCUUUCUAUUUUUGUGUUUCAAAAAUUUGCAUAAUAUAAACAUCUUUCAGAGUUUUUAUACUUAAAUAGGACUUAACUUUAUGAUAAAUACAAUAAACCAUUUUUCAUAUAUCAAAAUUCAAUUUAAGUAUGUAUUUUGGCUAAUUGAAAUAAGCUACUUAAGCCUGUUAAGCUUCGGAAGUUUCCAGAAAUUGGGCCCUGGGGCCUUUUUCAAUAUUAUUUCUCAUCCGUAUCUUUAGACAAGCCUCAGUGAUUCCAUUCAUUUGAUUGGCUGGUUAAUUUUACAAUCCAAUCACAACACUCUGAUUCUAUUCUAAAAUUUAAGUUUAAUCUAAGUUGGUUAUUAAAUAAAGCCCCAGAUUAAACAAGCACUUUUAUUAAAGAUUGAAAUUCAUAGCAUGCAUUUAGCUGUAAACAAUAAAACAAUUUUGUACUCGAUCUUCAAAAUUAGAAUCCCUUAAACCAAUUAGUUUUUAUUUGCAGUAGUGUUUUAAAAAAAAUAUAGUUCUACAAUUCACCGUGUGGUUGUUCUGUAUUAUAAAGCUUUAAUUUUAAUAUCUGUUAGACUCAGUCAUAUUUUGAUGUGAUGAUUGUGUUUUUCUGUUAAUAAUUAUGAUGAUUUCUUAUUUGUGAUUCUACAUUCAUGUAAUGUGUUAGUUAUCAAAAAGUUGAAAGUUGUACCUCUUAUUGCAGUGAGGUUAUAGUUUUCAGUUCUACUUUUUAUAUCCUAUUCUGAAAUUUAAAAUACCAAGAUCAGUUUAACAGAUUUAACUCAUUUGAUUUCAUUUUGGCAUUGUAUUUUGGGUAAUGCUUUCAAUGAUCAUGUGAUUUGUCACCAUAAGUCACAUGAUCACAAGUUCAACAAUGGUAUAUUCUUCACACAUUAAAUUUCUUAGCGCAAUGUUACAGGGUGUUUUUUUUUCUAAAGAGACUCAAAUUUUUUGUUGGCCAUAUUUAAAAAAAAGAAAAGAAAUUAGACUUACUAUUCUUACAACUAUCUGAUAUAAAAUUGAUCUUAAAUUAUUAUCAAUUGAAUGAAGAAAUUCGGAUUUGUGUGAAGAGUAAACACUGUGAGACUUUUAGAAUAGUCAAAGUAUUACACUUACAGGUAUUUGUUCCCUGCUUUAAUAAUAAAUACAUGUAUUUGUAAACAGGGGGCCCUGGCUCAUGGGAUAUUUAAGGUAUCAGACUCACAAAUAUGUGACUUUGUAUGCAAGGUGGCCCCAUGUGAUUUUGGUAUCAUUUGAAAGUGUUUUGUGUGCACAUAAAGAAAAUACAAAACUAAGGUAACAACCGCAAUUACUCAGCUUUUAAAGAUUUCAAAAUGAUUCCUGUAUGUCCAAUUUCAGUUAUAAAGAACAAAUCAGUCAGUAAGUUGUUUAUUAUAGUGUUAUGUGUACAUAGCAUAACAACAUUUCAUAAUAAAUAGUUUUACAUUUACACCAGGCCCAUUGGGUCUAUAAGUCACCUAUAAAUCGGCGGUAUAUGGAGCAUAAUUUCAUAUAAAACAUAAGUUGUAUGUAACAGUGCAGAUAUACGAACAAUCGAGUACUAUUUUACAAAGCAUCAAUGACCGGAAUUAAGACAACAAUAAUCAAUCAAGUAUAGUGCAUUUAUUUCAAAAUGAUACAUUUUAAGUGUCACAUGCAUUGCUUUCAAUGAUUGUGUAAGAAAUAUUAUAAAUAUAUUCAAGCUGUAAUAACUGUAUGAAAUGAUGUACUUUUGUUCAUUUACAUGUAUAUUACAUAUUUAAACUCAGCAAUCAAAUACCCUUCAAAUGAUGCCAACAUCUUAUAGGGUCACCUGGCCUCACAAUUGAACAUUAAGGUCAAUGGGAGCUAUCUGAGAACUGCUAGUAGCUAAUUUGAGAGUCGGAUUCUGUAAAUUAGAUUUUCAUUAUGCUUCAUACAUUAAGUUUCAGGUCAUUCGUUGCUUGUGUAAAAAAAAGUUAGCUCAUAUUUAUUGUCAAAUGCUAUGAUGAUUUCAAACAGGACUUUAAAUAUUGUAUGUGUAUCUUUUGACCUUGGCCUUGACCUGGAUCCUUCUGACUGGGUGAAGGCAGCUUUCUGUGGUGAUAUUUCAGUGUCAUUGUGGACAUUUGAUUGCCAAUCAGUACUUUGUACCAAUAGAAAGCCUUAUUUUACAUUUUCGGACACAACCAUUCUAACAUUCUAAUGUCUACCAUUAACCAAUGUUUACCUGAAAUAUAAUUGUGUGAAGUUUUUUAUGAAGACGUACUUGUUUGAAUGAGCUGGGGCUUACAUUUAAGUUACAGGCAUCGUGCAAUACAUGUGUUAAUCCAUCUUCAUAUAUUAAGUGCUCCAAAACAUUAUGUUGCUUAAAAAAAUAAACAGUUAUCAGAG